AACGAACGCUGGCGGCAUGCCUAACACAUGCAAGUCGAACGAGACCUUCGGGUCUAGUUGCGCACGGGUGCGUAACGCGUGGGAACCUUCCCUUAGGUUCGGAAUAACUCCCCGAAAGGGGUGAUAAUACCGGAUAAUUUCUUCGGCCGAAUGAUUUAUCGCCUUAGGAUGGGCCCGCGUUGGAUUAGCAAGUUGGUAGGGUAAAGGCCAACCAAGGCGACGAUCCAUAGCUGGUCUGAGAGGACGAUCAGCCACACUGGGACUGAGACACGGCCCAGACUCCUACGGGAGGCAGAAGUGGGGAAUAUUGGACAAUGGGCGAAAGCCUGAUCCAGCAAUGCCGCGUGAGUGAUGAAGGCCUUAGGGUUGUAAAGCUCUUUUACCCGGGAUGAUAAUGACAGUACCGGGAGAAUAAGCUACGGCUAACUACGUG
rnacentral:rRNA from 1 species